rnacentral:rRNA from 1 species
CACGCUGUAAACGAUGAAAACUAAGUAUUGCCGCGAGGCAGUGCUGUAGCUAACGCAUUAAGUUUUCCGCCUGGGGAGUACGCUCGCAAGAGUGAAACUUAAAGGAAUUGACGGGGGCCCGCACAAGCAGUGGAGCAUGUGGUUUAAUUCGACGCUACGCGAAGAACCUUACCAAGGCUUGACAUAUAGAGGAAACGGCCAGAGAUGGUCGCCCCGCAAGGUCUCUAUACAGGUGG